rnacentral:rRNA from 1 species
UACGGAGGGUGCGAGCGUUGUCCGGAAUCAUUGGGCGUAAAGGGCGCGUAGGUGGCGCGGCAAGCGUGCGGUGAAAGCCUGGGGCUCAACCCCGGGUCGGCCGUGCGAACUGCCGGGCUUGAGCACUGUAGAGGCAGGCGGAAUUCCGGGUGUAGCGGUGGAAUGCGUAGAGAUCCGGAAGAACACCGGUGGCGAAGGCGGCCUGCUGGGCAGUUGCUGACACUGAGGCGCGACAGCGUGGGGAGCAAACAGG